rnacentral:rRNA from 1 species
GACAGAGGUGCCAAGCGUUAGGCGGAAUCACUGGGCUUAAAGCGUGUGUAGGCGGGCGGGCAAGUACCUUGUGAAAUCCCACGGCUCAACCGUGGAACGGCUGGGUAUACUGCCUGUCUUGAGCCAGCUAGGGGCGACCGGAACAGACGGUGGAGCGGUGAAAUGCGUAGGUAUCGUCUGGAACGCCAAAGGUGAAAACAGGUCGCUGGGGCUGAGCUGACGCUGAGACACGAAAGCCAGGGGAGCGAACGGG